rnacentral:rRNA from 1 species
GACGAACGCUGGCGGCGUGCUUAACACAUGCAAGUCGAGCGGUAAGGCCCUUUCGGGGGUACGACGAGCGGCGAACGGGUGAGUAACACGUGAGUGACCUGCCCUCAGCUCUGGGAUAAGCCUGGGAAACCGGGUCUAUACUGGAUAUGACUCCAUGACGCAUGUUGUGGGGUGGAAAGCCUUGUGCGGCUGAGGAUGGGCCCCGCGGCCUAUCAGCUUGUUGGUGGGGGNGAUGGCCUACCAAGGCGGACGACGGGUAGCCGGCCCUGAGAGGGCGACCGGCCACACUGGGACUGAGACACGGCCCAGACUCCUACGGGAGGCAGCAGUGGGGAAUCUUGCGCAAUGGGCGAAAGCCUGACGCAGCGACGCCGCGUGAGGGAUGACGGCCUGGU